GACGAGGGAUCCUAGCGUUGUUCGGAAUUAUUGGGCGUAAAGCGGGUGUAGGUGGCUUUGUAAGUCAGGUGUGAAAGCCCAGGGCUCAACCCUGGAAGUGCAUUUGAUACUGCGAAGCUUGAGUGUAGGAGAGGUUACUAGAAUUCUUGGUGUAGUGGUGAAAUACGUAGAUAUCAAGAGGAAUACCGGUGGCGAAGGCGGGUAACUGGCCUAACACUGACACUCAG
rnacentral:rRNA from 1 species